rnacentral:rRNA from 1 species
CCAGCUCAGAUGAACGCUGGCGGCAGGCCUAACACAUGCAAGUCGAACGGUAACAGGAAGCAGCUUGCUGCUUCGCUGACGAGUGGCGGACGGGUGAGUAAUGUCUGGGAAACUGCCUGAUGGAGGGGGAUAACUACUGGAAACGGUAGCUAAUACCGCAUAACGUCGCAAGACCAAAGAGGGGGACCUUCGGGCCUCUUGCCAUCGGAUGUGCCCAGAUGGGAUUAGCUAGUAGGUGGGGUAACGGCUCACCUAGGCGACGAUCCCUAGCUGGUCUGAGAGGAUGACCAGCCACACUGGAACUGAGACACGGUCCAGACUCCUACGGGAGGCAGCAGUGGGGAAUAUUGCACAAUGGGCGCAAGCCUGAUGCAGCCAUGCCGCGUGUAUGAAGAAGGCCUUCGGGUUGUAAAGUACUUUCAGCGGGGAGGAAGGCGAUAAGGUUAAUAACCU